rnacentral:rRNA from 1 species
UACGUAGGGGGCAAGCGUUGUCCGGAUUGACUGGGCGUAAAGGGUGCGUAGGCGGUUUGGUAAGUCAAAUGUGAAAGCCCGUGGCUCAACCACGGAACUGCAUUUGAUACUGCUAGGCUUGAGUUCGGGAGAGGCAAGUGGAAUUCCUAGUGUAGCGGUGGAAUGCGUAGAUAUUAGGAGGAACACCAGUGGCGAAGGCGGCUUGCUGGAACGACACUGACGCUGAGACACGAAAGCGUGGGGAGCAAAC